rnacentral:rRNA from 1 species
GACGAACGCUGGCGGCGUGCCUAAUACAUGCAAGUAGAACGCACAGUUUAUACCGUAGCUUGCUACACCAUAGACUGUGAGUUGCGAACGGGUGAGUAACGCGUAGGUAACCUGCCUGGUAGCGGGGGAUAACUAUUGGAAACGAUAGCUAAUACCGCAUAAUAUUGAUUAUUGCAUGAUAAUUGAUUGAAAGAUACUAUUGCAUCACUACCAGAUGGACCUGCGUUGUAUUAGCUAGUAGGUGAGGUAACGGCUCACCUAGGCGACGAUACAUAGCCGACCUGAGAGGGUGAUCGGCCACACUGGGACUGAGACACGGCCCAGACUCCUACGGGAGGCAGCAGUAGGGAAUCUUCGGCAAUGGACGAAAGUCUGACCGAGCAACGCCGCGUGAGUGAAGAAGGUUUUCGGAUCGUAAAGCUCUGUUGUAAGAGAAGAACGGGUGUGAGAGUGGAAAGUUCACACUGUGACGGUAUCUUACCAGAAAGGGACGGCUAACUACGUG